rnacentral:rRNA from 1 species
CCUACGGGUGGCAGCAGUGGGGAAUAUUGCACAAUGGGCGCAAGCCUGACCCAGCAACGCCGCGUGGAUGAAGAAGUCUUUCGGGUUGUAAACUUCUUUUGUCAGGGACGAAGCAAGUGACGGUACCUGACGAAUAAGCCACGGCGAACUACCUGCCAGCAGCCGCGGUACUACGUAGGUGGCAGGCGUUAUCCGGAUUUACUGGGUGUAAAGGGGGUGUAGGCGGGGGGGGAAGUAAGAGGUGAAACCCACGGGAUCACCCUGGGGCUUGCGUUUGAAACUGUUUGUCUUGAGUGCUGGAGAGGCAAGCGGAAUUCCGUGUGUAGCGGUGAAAUGCGUAGAUAUAAGGAGGAACACCAGUGGCGAAGGCGGAUUGCUGGACAGUAACUGACGCUGAGGCGCGAAAGCGUGGGGAGCAAACAGGAUUAGAUACCCCUGUAGUC